rnacentral:lncRNA from 1 species
GUCUGCUUCCCAACCAUCAGUUGACCCAAGGCGCAGGCCUCUGCAGCUCCAGCUUGAGUCACCCAACUGGCCCUGCCCAGGACUGAUCCAUCCUCAGGAAUGGUUCUGACGACAGAAGACUGUCCAGGAAGGCUGGCUCACCCCAGCUCUCCCGUACCCGUUCCUUAGCUCAUGUGUGUAUAUGACAGGGUGACUGGGGUGGGGUCUCUCACCGGCGGGCUGUGGGGGCCCUCGAGGCAGGUCCAGCUCUGGUGGGUGGCUGCUCCGCGUGAUGAUGACCGGCUCCUCCGUCACGUUGAUGCUGUUACACUGCAUGAGGUCCUGCAGCAGGUUGAAGAUGUCCUCUGCCCUCGAACACUUGAAUGCAAAGAUGCCUGGGGAAGCUCCAGAACAGGGUAACUGAAGUUUGUAUAAACAGGACGAGAAAGACAGCACGACAUGUAAAAGCUGUGCAAGACUAGAAGGACAGAAGUGGUGAUACAUGGCUGUAAUCCCACACUUGGGAGGGAUGAGGUGCAUGCCAGGAAAGGCCCUUCAGCAAUCAACCCGGAACAUGCAUUGCUUUGUGCUGUCUCGGGAGAGACAGCUCUGUCUGCGUGCAGCACAGUCCCAAGAAGGACUCCUCGUGCUGAGCAUGUGUGGACCUAAGAAGCAAGGCCAGGCCUCAUGUCCCAACCUCAAGCUCAUGAGCAGCCUGCCAGCCCCCGAGCCCUGCCUGUAGAGGGCACGUGGGCAGGGGAUACAGUAUACUCCACUGCCCACAGGUGAAGGUGGACCAGGCUCUGGAAGGUUACACUGUGUACGAGAGACCCAAAAUCCUGCUGCCCAAGUCUCUGUGCAAGCUCCUCAGCCCUGAGUAGCCAGUCUCCUGCCUGACUUCUCUUCCGCUGUGCACGGAGGCCAGUGUGUAGGGCCUGGCAGCUCAGGAGGAGUUUUCCUAUGCAAAGGCAAUAAAGACCUUGGAACCAUGGC